rnacentral:lncRNA from 1 species
CUUGCACAGGCCCCUAAUGGAUCCUAUGAGCAGUAGGAGGGGGUUAUGACUAGAGAAGAUGCAGACAUAGGCCUGUCCCUGCAAGUUAGUUCCCUGAGCUGGAGCUGACUCUUCCCAGGAUGACUGAGAGUGGAAACAACCAGUCCCCCAGGGAAGGCCCAACCCUGACUUUUUAUCUCCACUGAAAAAUGAUAUCAGAAUACAUAGGUGUGGCCAGGUGCUCAUGUCUGUAAUCCCAGCACUUUGGGAGGCUGAGGCGGGUGGAUUGCUUCGAGCCCAGACAACAUGCUGAAACCCCAUCUCUGCAAAAAAUACAAAACUUAGCUGGGCGUGGUGGCCUGCACCUGUAGUCCCAGUCAAGGUUAAGUUUUAUCCAGCCUGGUCCAGAACUGACCACAGCUACUUCUCAUGAAUGAGUUUAGGACCUAGGCUUGCACCACCACUCUUGCUUCAUACUUUGAGGUUCCAGCCCCUUACCUCGCCAGUUUUUGCUGCUUCUCACGUAGGUAAGUUUUGAACCAUU